CCUACGGGGGGCAGCAGUGAGGAAUAUUGGUCAAUGGGCGGAAGCCUGAACCAGCCAAGUCGCGUGAGGGAAGAAGGCCCUGCGGGUCGCGGACCUCUUUGGACGGGGAGCAAGGCCGCCGACGCGUCGGCGGAAGGAGAGUACCCGUAGAACAAGCAUCGGCUAACUCCGUGCCAGCAGCCGCGGUAAUACGGAGGAUGCGAGCGUUAUCCGGAAUUACUGGGUGUAAAGGGAGCGUAGGCGGGGAUGCAAGUUGGGUGUCAAAACUACCGGCUCA
rnacentral:rRNA from 1 species